AGAUAAUGAUACUGGAACUUGUAUUUAUUAUUAAUUCUACAAAUAGAAAUAACACAUCUAACUAAACUUUCAAAUAUGUUUUCUUACAGCGGCAAAUUUCAACCAGAACCAGAACAUGAUUGAAUCUAGUGGUAUGUUAAUAAGCAGUUAAGAUACAUUAAAGGGACACUGUAGGCACCCAGAUCAUUUCAGCCCAUUGAAGUGGUCUGGGUGCCACCUCAUAUCACCCUUAACCUUAAGUGUAAUUAUUGCAGCUUUUGUAAUCUGCAAUAAUUACCUUGCAGGGUUAAGUGCUCCUCUAGUGGCUGUCUACCAGACAGCCACUAGAGGGACUUCCGGCUUCUUAGACGACUUUUGGUCGUCUAAACUACGCUGGACAUCCUCACACUAUGCAUGAGUACCUCCAGCAUCGCCGGAAUCCCCAUAGGAAAGCAUUGAAUAAUGGUUUCCUAUGGGGAGGUCUAAUGUGUACGCCCAUUGGCGCGCAUGCGCAUUAGGUCUCCCCUGCCGGAGGAUGUGGAAUGGGGGGCACUCGAAGAUUCUACAGUACCAGGAAAACGGCUUUGUUUUCGUGGCACUAGAGAGUCCCAUUAACAGCACAGAUCAGUGCAAGACAACAUACAGUGCAAAUUGAAAAACAUUAGCAGAAGUCACUAUGCAGUACAAGGUGCAAUAUGCAAUAAUGUGCAGUUCAAAAUGAAUUAUGCAAAAAAAAUAAAAAUAAAAAAAUAACAUGCACAUCAUAGUUUAUAAGGACAUUACACAUAACUCAAUGUACAUAAUAUGCAUAGUAUACAGAAGGAAAAUGUUCAUGGUUCUUUUCAUAGGGUAAUAUAUACUGUGUAUAUUUCCCUAUAAAAAGAAUUUUAGGAAUAAUUUACACUGAUCAUCCACAACAUUAAAACUGCAUGCCUAAUAUUUUGUAUAUCCCCCUCAUAUUGCCAAAACAGCUCUGAUGCAUCAAGGCAUGGACUCCACAAGACCUUUAAAUGUGUCCUGUGAUAAUUGACACCAAGAUAUUAGCAUCAGAUGCUUUAAGUCCUGCAAGUUGCGAUUUGGGGCCUCCGUGGAUGGGAAUUGUUGUUCCAGCUUAUCGCACACAUUGCUCAAUCAGAUUGAGAUCUGGACAAUUUGGAGGCCAAAGCAACACCUUGGACUCUCAAGGUAAACAAUGCACACGCACCUGGCCAUCCACCUGAUCUAGAAAAAAAUGUGAUUCAGUCAACCUUCUUCCAUUGUUCCAUUGUCCAGUUUUGACACUCACAUUGUUAGUGAACACCCUUUCGGCGGUGGACAGGGGUCAUCAUUGGCACACAACCCCAUAUGCAUCAAACUGCAAUGCACUGUGCAUUCUAACACAUUUAUUUUAUGGCCAGUAUUACGUUUUUCACCAGUUUGAGCUACAGUAGCUCUUCUGUGUGAUCAGCCGGCUUCUCCGGUUGUCCUUUAGUAUGUACUAACCAGUGCAUACUGGGAGCAUCCCGCAGGACUUGCCAUUUUCAAGAUGCUCUGACCUUGUCUUCUAGCCAUCACUAUUUGGCCCUUGUCAAAGUCACAUAGAUCUUUUCACUUGCCUAUUUUCCUUCUUCCAGCACAUGACAUUCAAGAACUGACUGUUCACUUGCUGGCUAAUAUAUCACACACCUUGACAGGUGCCAUUGUAAUGAUAUAAUCCAUGUUAUUCACUUCACCUGUCAGUGUUUUAAUGUUGUGGCGGAUCAGUGUAUAACUAUAUAUAUAUAUACAUACAUAUAUACACAUUUAAAAUAAACUCUGAUGCUGUAAAUUAAAAUUUACAAUAACUUUGCUUACUGUUAAAACAAGAUUAACUAAAAAAAAAACUUUUACUGUGUUCACUUGCAGUGGCCAACCUAACGAAGAAAGUGAGCAUCCUUGAAACAUCUUUGCCAAGACUUGGUACGGUAAUAUGCUAUACAUUACCUUUCAGUACUUAGUAGAACCUUGACAAUUGUCCAAAUCUAAUAGGACUGCUCAGAUUUUGGACCCUAUGCAACCAUGUUUCAUUCUUUUUCAUAAAAGAGACACCAGAGAAGAUUCUUGCUAUUGCUUGCCUUUCUAGAGCUUUUAUGCCCAUUCAAAACUACUUCAGCGUCUAUUAACACAUAGACAUUGCUGACAGUACCCUUUGAUGGUCUUGUGUGACAUCAGUGAUGUGAACUGCAUCACUGAUAUGUGGCUAUUAUUAUUUCCAUUUUUACCAUCAAAGCAGUUGUUUAAUAAUGGUUAAUUCAGGUAAACAUAACUGUUUUGAUAGCUUGAGAUUCAUUGUGUAUUAUCAUUAUUAUUCACUGAAGUGAGAAUUGUUGGGAAAAUCAAAGUGAAUUCAAAGUAAAUUUCAAGUGUAUUUCAUAAAUUUCCUAACUGGAGUCAUAGCUGACCUGAAGAACUUUUUCAGUUCUGCUAUUUUACUCUUAAAUUUGAUAUUUAACUUGACUUCACUUUGAAUUCAACAAAAAUGUAAUUCCUUCUAAUAUUUCAAAUGCAUAAACAGGGACACAUUUAUUUUAAGGGUGUGAGUGAGGGUGUAGGUAGAGAUCAGGCUGCUCUGAGAAAUAUUAGAUGACUUACUAAUUACAAUUUAUGUAACUAAAAUGUAAUUUAGAACAAGAACUGUAAAGAACCCACACCACAAGGGCCUGUAAUCACAUCUAUGGCACAUAUCCCUCUAACGCGCUGAGCACCUCCCAGCGGAGCGCCACUCGGCAUCUUCGACAUGCUGACCGCAAAGACCCAGAGGUACUUCCAGAGCGGCCACGGCCAAGAUUCAAGGUGAAAAUAGUUCCAGGCAGCCGCUCUGGAAUGUCCUCAAAACUUUAACUUAGUGGCGUUUCCUCUACAGACUUAAGAUCAGGGCUCUAUUUUCACAGACUGGGCAUUUAAAGAGAACUAUCUGAGGAUACUAUAUGUGUGGGGGUCAUAUAUGUUUUUCAUAUGUUUUUGGGGUAAAAUUGUGCCAGGCCCAUCUGUGUAUGGGAGAUAAUUCAAACUGAAGUUUGUUGCAAUCCUCUCCCAGACACAAAGGCGCUUGGAUGGGCUAACUGUGUUUUCAAUAGAGACCCCAUGCUGGGGUUCUGGUUAUAUAAACUUGUGUUUCUUUUAAUAAAAGUUGUUGUAUUACCCUUCAUCAAGUCUUGAGUGGUGUUUGGGUAGGAAAGAGCUAAAAUCACGUCCUUGCGGGACUUGGGAAAGACAUUCAACAGAGGUACUAUUCAGAGUACAGAAGCUCCGUUACAAGAACAAUAUAUCCGAUGAUUUUAAACACAUGUAUUGUAGAAAGUAUCCUAGAAAAGAGGGACAUUAUGACAGAAAAGAGAGGCAGACGGAUAUGUGCCCAAAAUAGGGACUUUCCCUCUUAAAUAGGGACACUUGAGAGGUAUUCAAUUUUCACUUUAGUUAAGAACUCUGGAUUUUCUAAUAGUUUGUUUUGAAUAUGUAGAAUACUUGAUAUGAAGAAUUCCAGCAAUCCAUUUUUGUUAUGAUGGCUAUAAAAUGCUGUCUGCGGAGCUCGGUUCAGUUAGUUCAUGAGUAAUUUAGAAUAUUUACUACACGGAGCUGUUGAUUCACUCUGUAUUUAAAGUAUUCAGAGCAUUAUUAAUAGUUAACAUAUAUUCAGUUGAUUUUAUUUGACUUAUGUUUUGUUUUUCUUAAUUUUUAUUCUCCUUGGUAGAUCUCAAAAGGACUUUAGUUAAUAAAACUAAUUGUUCAUCCAUUUGGGUCUGUUGGGAUUCCUUGAAAUGCUGCUAUACAACCAGGCAAUUUUUUUCAAGAGCAGAUCUCACUUUCUCCUUGAAGAUGUUAAGUCCUGUAACAUUCAUCCUACCACUGUUCUAGAGAUUUAGGCAGUAAUGUUAAACCUGAGAGUAGCUGUACAUACACUUCCUAAAAAGUGGGAAGCGAUACCUGGUGACAGGUACUUACAUAGUGCAAACAGGGGCAUUCCGAGGUCAGAAGAUCAAGAGAAUAGAAUAGAUGACAUCCCUAGUCAAUGAGUAGAAAUGUGAAAAAGUUAGGUUGCUCCAGUUUGUCCAAAUAAAAUGCCUUUUAAUCCAUAUCUGGAUGAUUCAAUUCAUCCAAGAUUCACUUGUGGGGUCUUAUUCAUUGGGCAAGAUUCCCCAGAUAAAUCUCAGACCAAUCGAUAAAUUCUUAUAUGGAUUUUAAAAGUAAUUUGAUUCACACAAACUGAUACAAACAUGUUUUUCCACAAGUCUACUAAUAAGUCAAUGUAGGUAAUGGACAAACAAUGACAUGUGAGCCAAGUUCUGGUACAUAAAUAGGCCUCUUCCAAGAAUGUGUUCUACAAACAUGUAGACAACAACCAGAUGAGCGCGGAAAGAAGGGGAAGGCAGAUACAUGACAGCUGGUGAGAAAUGUUUUAGAUGGUGUACACCUUACGACUUUUUCUACUGUAUUAUACAAAGGAAGUCACAAAUUGUACUAAAAGUGGUGACCCAUUAAACUAGUGACAGGUUACACUGCCUGAAUGGGCAUCUCUGUUCUCUGAUCCUUUCUGAGCCUAUGAGUAACUGCUGCAUAUCAGAACAUUGAAAAACUGGAAUUCCUUGUCUUCUCUUACUCCAAUAUAACUUUUAAAUUUUCUAUAAUAUGAGACGUUGAUCAUACAUGGAUAAAAGUGUAUAAAUCGCAUCUGUUUGUGUUCUAUGUAACUGUUAGAAAAUCCACUUCUUAUGUGGUAUCUGACCCCAUACACGUAGUUAGAAAGCUAAAGACCAAUCUUUAUUGACAAAGAGAAGAGUAUUGCCCACAAGCUUAAAAAAAACCCUGUGAAUAUAUUUUGUGAUGUACAUUUAUAUUUAUUUAUGGAAUUUCAAAACACAAGCACUUUUCUAUGUAAAAUCCAUUUUCAGUAUGUAUAAAGGCUUAUAUUAAAUCUAUUUUCUAAUCCAAAUGUUCCCGCUGUAGCUAUAUCAAACUGAUUUUAUCUUUCUUCAGAGACAGGCUGUGGCACUGGAUGGAUGGAGUUCAAUAACAGCUGCUAUUUUUUCACAACAAUUAAAUCGAACUGGUUUAAAGCCAGGACAUUUUGUGUAAGGAAGGGAAGUGAUCUGACUGUAAUUACCAGCGAGAUGGAGCAU